AUACGGAGGGUGCAAGCGUUAUCGGGAUUCAUUGGGUUUAAAGGGUACGUAGGCGGAUAGAUAAGUUAGUGGUGAAAUCCCGAAGCUCAACUUCGGAACUGCCAUUAAAACUGUCUAUCUUGAAUUUGGUUGAAGUGGGCGGAAUAUGACAUGUAGCGGUGAAAUGCAUAGAUAUGUCAUGGAACACCAAUAGUGAAGACAGCUCACUAAGCCAAUAUUGACGCUGAGGUACGAAAGCAUGGGUAGCGAACAGGAUUAGAAACCCGAGUAGUCC
rnacentral:rRNA from 1 species